UGGGGAAUUUUGGACAAUGGGCGAAAGCCUGAUCCAGCAAUGCCGCGUGUGUGAAGAAGGCCUUCGGGUUGUAAAGCACUUUUGUCCGGAAAGAAAUCCUUGGCUCUAAUACAGUCGGGGGAUGACGGUACCGGAAGAAUAAGCACCGGCUAACUACGUGCCAGCAGCCGCGGUAAUACGUAGGGUGCAAGCGUUAAUCGGAAUUACUGGGCGUAAAGCGUGCGCAGGCGGUUUGCUAAGACCGAUGUGAAAUCCCCGGGCUCAAACCUGGGGAACUGCAUUUGGUGACUGGCAGGCUAGAGUAUGGCAGAGGGGGGUAGAAUUCCACGUGUAGCAGUGAAAUGCGUAGAGAUGUGGAGGAAUACCGAUGGCGAAGGCAGCCCCCUGGGCCAAUACUGACGCUCAUGCACGAAAGCGUGGGGAGCAAACAGGAUUAGAUACCCUGGUAGUCCACGCCCUAAAACGAUGUCAACUAGUUGUUGGGGAUUCAUUUCCUUAGUAACGUAGCUAACGCGUGAAGUUGACCGCCUGGGGAGUACGGUCGCAAGAUUAAAAACUUAAAUGAAUUGACGGGGUCAUAGCUGUUUCCU
rnacentral:rRNA from 1 species